CUGCAUCUUUUUCUUCAAUAGAAGAAUCUUUCAUGCAAGUCAAGGAACAGGUAUCACAUUGGCUGUGUGGGUGUUUGCCAUGUGGAACGCUGAUUCUUACUAGACAGAACCCCAAAUGAGAAAAAUCUCCAAGGUUUCUACUGGCAUGUUUAUGUACCUGCAGUGAUUUCCCUUUUGGCUUGUGUUGACAGCUUUAAAGGAUUGUUUUGUCUGGAGUGUCCCUCUCCCUUUUAAGUCUUUUUACAAGUUUCUAACUCUAGCAUUAAGAAUGUCAGUCUUAAGACUUAUGAUUUAGCUAUCUGAAAAUAAUUUUCUUAUUAUUAAGUAGGCCAUAUGACAAUAUAUGUAGAUAUAUAUAUAUUUCCCUGUUGUCUACAGCUUUGACUACUCUCAUUUUUGGUACAUUAAUCUUCUCUCUAUCUCAUUCCACAGCUAUUACCUAAUAAAGUAAAAAGUUAGAAAGGAAUAUACCAGAACAGUGAAUGGAAAAAAUCAGAAGCAUGGUUAAAUUCAUGGAAGCUUACUAUGCAAAUAUUGUGAAAGUGCUUGUAGUAAUCCAGCUUUAUAUGAUCACAAAAUAGGUGUCUGGAAAUGAGAACCACAGUGAGCUGAAUUCCUUUAUAGAAAAGAAAAAAAAGAAAGAGGAACUUUUGGGUUAUGGUUCAUUUAGCUUGGUUUAGAUAUCUACUUUAGAAUAAGAAGAAUUGUGCCCUUGACUCCAGUAAGUAUAUUGACCACAUCUUUAUGGAUGGUAUAGGUAGACCGAUUAGGAUCUCAAACAUAGAUUUAGAUCUCAAAAUCCACAGAGUGAAAUUUAUAUUCUCAUUUGUAACUUGAAGGCAAGAAUAAAAAAAGGAAAUAGUAAAUAUAUUUCCAUCGGACAUAUCUUAUUAAAAGUAUUUCUCCAAAAAAGAGAAUUACAUUCUCUUUAUAUAGACAUAUUUAUAUAUAUAUGUGUGUGUAUGUAUAUGUAUAUCCAAUAAUAGACAUUCAAAAAUUUGCAACAAGAAAUUUAAAGUUGUGUCUUUCCUUGUUAAUUUUCCAAUUAUAUGAUCUGAUGAGAACUGCGAUAAUGUGAUGAGUCAGAAGCAGCAGAGAGCUGGCUAAUAAAGACACUGAAUACAUCUUCAAACUUACUGAUCUUUUCUUCAGUGGAAGAGAGUUGAAGUGUAAUGUCAGGAUAGAGGCAUGGGGAAGAAGAAUCAGUUAAGGAUAAGAGAAUGAAGACAUAUGUGCCUAACUCAGAAACCUCAUGUUGAAGAGCUCACAUCAAGGGGAGACAAGUCAUUCCCCUGCUGCACUGUUGGGUCCCUCCCAUGGAAGAUGGGUCUCCAUUAACUUCUCCAGAGUGGAUCCAUCUCAAGAGCUACAGCUCUCCACGAACUUCUGCGGUGUGGAUCACUCUUCCAUAGUGUGCAGUCUUUCAAGGACAGGCUGUUCCAUUAGGGGAGCAGACCCCCUCUCUCCCGUGGGCUCACAACCUCCUCCAGGCAUCCAGUCACUCCAUCGUCAGCUCUCCUCCAUGGGCUGGGGAUGAAUCUCUGCAUCCCCACGGACCUCCUCCGCCUGCAGGGGCACAGCUGCUUCACCAUGGGCUGCACCAGGAGCUGCAGAGGGAUCUCAGCUCCAGGGACUGGGGCACCUCCUUUCCCCCUUUUUCCACUGACCUUUGUGCCUGCAUGGUUGUUUGAUUCCCAUGUUCUCGCUCUGCCCUUCUCUAGUCACAAUUACAGCUGCACAAUCACU